CAAUUUUAUUGUACAAUUCACCAAUGUAAAAAAAAAAAAAUUUAAGGGGUAAUUUUGGAACAAAAAAAGUAAUUAGAAGGUGAGAAGCUUCCGGACAAAGAAGCUUCUGGCAAAAAAAUUUGUAGUCUCCUAAAAUUUGGCAAAGCAAUUGCCAAUCACUGUCACAACCCUCUCACAAAGACUAAGUUUGCUUUCAUUUUUCUUUUGUUUGCAAAUGAAAAACUAAUUUGCAUGGUGUUAAACUCCCUUAGCCCACUCCCUUUACCCUAAUUUUCUUUUGUUUGCGGGAGGAGAUUGAGGAAUUCUUGUUAUUAGGCAUCUUCCUCUCAGCCAAAUUUCUCAAAAUCUUUCUCCGUCGAAGUUCGCCAUUAUUAUUGUCGUCCACCGCCGAGAAACACGAUCUCUUUUCAUCCUCUCAGUCUGUGAUCAUGAGCUGUUUUUUAUAACCUUUUUCAAGCUGGGGUACAAAUGAGCAAUUGAUAAUAGAUAUACUGGAAUGCAUCACAGCACAAUUUAAUUUGAAAAAACUUAUGCUAAAGCUUAUAGGGAAGAUCUCCUUGAGUUAUUGAAUAAGGGACUUUCAAGUGACUUCGAGGAUGGAAUUGAUCUAGAGAUGAAUCUUAAUGGAAAUAAAUCUAAAUCGGAAUAUGAUGACUUGGAUGAUAUGGUAUUCAAUAAGCAUCACAUGGCAAAGCUAAAAUGAAGUGAGGCAUUCAUAGUUGGGAGGAAAAGAGAGAUUCAACGUGCAAGUACUUGAGUUUUUUGUGUAACGGUCGAGGUAUAAGUUUCCUUACCUUUUAUUUCUUAUUUCAAGUAUAAAUGUUAAAUGUCAUUAAACAAAACAAUUUAGUGUUCUUAUAGUUAUUUGUGAUUAAUAAAACCAAAAUGAAUUUGAGGCUUAUAAAUGAUGGUGUUAAUUUGAAUAUAUGUCUAAUGUCGAUGUCAAGACCCAAAUUAUAUUAUAAAAAAUCGUUGUACAUUUUACAUUGAAUCCCUUCGGCAACACAUGGGUUUCAUCCUGGUGUUAGUACUCGAAACUUUAAACGUAAACUAGUUGUGAAAGUGAAGAUACAUUAAAAUAUCACUUUAUCGUACUGAAAAUAACUUUUUUAGUGAUUUGAUGUAUCAAAAAAUUGUUCUGCCAUAUAUGUAUUUUAUUUGAAUUCAUUACAAAAUUCUUUAAAUGGUCUUGAUGGAUUUAAGAUUUAAUUUAAGUUUUAAUUGGACAGCUUUAAAUCUAGUGAAGCUCAUCUAACAAAAAUGUACAAAACUUAGGUAAAAUUUUUUUGAUGAAAUUU